rnacentral:rRNA from 1 species
UACAGAGGUCUCAAGCGUUGUUCGGAUUCAUUGGGCGUAAAGGGUGCGUAGGCGGCGUGGUAAGUCGGAUGUGAAAUCUCGGAGCUUAACUCCGAAACUGCAUUCGAUACUGCCGUGCUUGAGGACUGGAGAGGAGACUGGAAUUUACGGUGUAGCGGUGAAAUGCGUAGAUAUCGUAAGGAAGACCAGUGGCGAAGGCGGGUCUCUGGACAGUUCCUGACACUGAGACACGAAGGCCAGGGGAGCAAAACGGG